CAGUCGCCACGGUAAUACGAAGGGGGCUAGCGUUGCUCGGAAUGACUGGGCGUAAAGGGCGCGUAGGCUGUUUGUACAGUCGGGUGUGAAAUUCCUGGGCUUAACCUGGGGGCUGCACCCGAUACGUGCAGGCUUGAGUGCGGAAGAGGGUCGUGGAAUUCCCAGUGUAGAGGUGAAAUUCGUAGAUAUUGGGAAGAACACCGGUGGCGAAGGCGGCGACCUGGUCCGUGACUGACGCUGAGGCGCGAAAGCGUGGGGAGCAAACAGGAUUAGAUACCCCCGUAGUCCCUGUCUCUUAUAC
rnacentral:rRNA from 1 species